GAUGAACGCUGGCGGCGUGCCUAAUACAUGCAAGUCGAGCGAACAGACGAGGAGCUUGCUCCUCUGACGUUAGCGGCGGACGGGUGAGUAACACGUGGAUAACCUACCUAUAAGACUGGGAUAACUUCGGGAAACCGGAGCUAAUACCGGAUAAUAUAUUGAACCGCAUGGUUCAAUAGUGAAAGACGGUUUUGCUGUCACUUAUAGAUGGAUCCGCGCCGCAUUAGCUAGUUGGUAAGGUAACGGCUUACCAAGGCAACGAUGCGUAGCCGACCUGAGAGGGUGAACGGCCACCCUGGAACUGAGACACGGUCCAGACUCCUACGGGAGGCAGCAGUAGGGAAUUUUCCGCAAAGGGCGAAAGCCUGACGGAGCAACGCCGCGUGAGUGAUGAAGGUCUUAGGAUCGUAAAACUCUGUUAUUAGGGAAGAACAAAUGUGUAAGUAACUAUGCACGUCUUGACGGUACCUAAUCAGAAAGCCACGGCUAACUACGUG
rnacentral:rRNA from 1 species